rnacentral:rRNA from 1 species
UACGGAGGGGGCUAGCGUUGUUCGGAAUUACUGGGCGUAAAGCGCGUGUAGGCGGCUUUGCAAGUCGGAUGUGAAAGCCCACGGCUCAACCGUGGAAGUGCAUCCGAAACUGCAUGGCUGGAGUCUCGGAGAGGAAGGUGGAAUGCUUGGUGUAGAGGUGAAAUUCGUAGAUAUCAAGCAGAACACCUGCGGCGAAGGCGGCCUUCUGGACGAUGACUGACGCUGAGACGCGAAAGCGUGGGGAGCAAACAGG